rnacentral:tRNA from 1 species
GGCAAUAUGGCCUAGUGGAUAGAGCUCUGGACUGGGACUCAGGAGACCUGGGUUCUAUUCCUGGCUCUUGCCU